AGCGAACGCUGGCGGCAGGCUUAACACAUGCAAGUCGAGCGGGCAUCCUUGUGGUGUCAGCGGCAGACGGGUGAGUAACGCGUGGGAACGUGCCCUUCGGUUCGGAAUAACUCAGGGAAACUUGAGCUAAUACCGGAUACGUGCGAGAGCAGAAAGGUUUAUCUGCCGAAGGAUCGGCCCGCGUCUGAUUAGCUAGUUGGUGAGGUUACGGCUCACCAAGGCGACGAUCAGUAGCUGGUCUGAGAGGAUGAUCAGCCACACUGGGACUGAGACACGGCCCAGACUCCUGCGGGAGGCAGCAGUGGGGAAUAUUGGACAAUGGGGGCAACCCUGAUCCAGCCAUGCCGCGUGAGUGAUGACGGCCUUAGGGUUGUAAAGCUCUUUUCUCCGGGACGAUAAUGACGGUACCGGAGGAAUAAGCCCCGGCUAACUUCGU
rnacentral:rRNA from 1 species